AGCUUUGCGCAGUGGCAGUAUCGUAGCCAAUGAGGUUUAUCCGAGGCUCGAUUAUUGCUAAUAGAGUUGAGGAAACUGGCCGAUGUUGCUGUACCCCUUCCUAGGCCAUGUAGCAGAGUAUUGAGUCGCUGGGGGCAGC